AUAUCAAUAAGCGGAGGAAAAGAAACCAACAGGGAUUGCCUCAGUAACGGCGAGUGAAGCGGCAACAGCUCAAAUUUGAAAUCUGGCCCGUCCCGGGUCCGAGUUGUAAUUUGGAGAGGAUGCUUCGGAUAAAGCUGCGGUCCAAGUCCCUUGGAACAGGGCGUCACAGAGGGUGAGAAUCCCGUCUUCGACCGUGAGCGGCGUCCGUGUGAAGCUCCUUCGACGAGUCGCGUUGUUUGGGAAUGCAGCGCAAAAUGGGUGGUAAAUUUCAUCUAAAGCUAAAUAUGGGCCAGAGACCGAUAGCGCACAAGUAGAGUGAUCGAAAGAUGAAAAGUACUUUGAAAAGAGAGUUAAACAGCAUGUGAAAUUGUUGAAAGGGAAGCGCUUGCAGCCAGACUCGUGGGCGGCGAUUCAGCCGGGGAUCCGUCCCCGGUGCACUUUGCCGUCUCCGGGCCAGCAUCGGUUUGGGCAGCCAGUGAAAGGCCCGGGGAAUGUAUCAACCCUCUCGGGGGCUUGACUUAUAGCCCCGGGUGCCAUAUGGCUCGUCGAGACCGAGGAACGCGCUCCGGCACGGAUGCUGGCGUAAUGGCUGUAAGCGACCCGUCUUGAAACACGGACCAAGGAGUCUAACAUCUAUGCGAGUGUUCGGGUGUCAAACCCUGGCGCGUAAUGAAAGUGAACGGAGGUCGGAGCCUGCCUUUGCAGGUGCACGAUCGACCGAUCCUGAUGUUCUCGGAUGGAUUUGAGUAAGAGCAUAGCUGUUGGGACCCGAAAGAUGGUGAACUAUGCGUGUAUAGGGUGAAGCCAGAGGAAACUCUGGUGGAGGCUCGCAGCGGUUCUGACGUGCAAAUCGAUCGUCAAAUACGCGUAUAGGGGCGAAAGACUAAUCGAACCAUUGGGAUCUAUGGCUACGACGUAUAUUUCUCGUUUUACCAGGUGGUUCUUACACAGGGAGCUAGUCACCCUGGAUAGCCCCCAAGAAAAAGUUUUCCUUUUUCAUGUGGGUGACACCGUUAGUGUGGCGGGAACUCUUGACUGAGAUCCGCAGCAGUUUCUUCUCGGAAAGAACUGUCCACAGACUAUAGAAUGGUGGUCGGGUGCAGAGUGCAUCUUGAUAAAGAUAUAGCCGGAAGAGAUUUAUGGGACCGUCCCAUGAUCUCUAGAUUGCUGGUAGCUGGUUCCUGC
rnacentral:rRNA from 1 species